rnacentral:rRNA from 1 species
AAUAGAUACCCUGGUAGUCCACGCCGUAAACGAUGAGUGCUAAGUGUUAGAGGGUUUCCGCCCUUUAGUGCUGCAGCUAACGCAUUAAGCACUCCGCCUGGGGAGUACGGUCGCAAGACUGAAACUCAAAGGAAUUGACGGGGGCCCGCACAAGCGGUGGAGCAUGUGGUUUAAUUCGAAGCAACGCGAAGAACCUUACCAGGUCUUGACAUCCUCUGACAACUCUAGAGAUAGAGUGUUCCCCUUCGGGGGACAGAGUGACAGGUGGUGCAUGGUUGUCGUCAGCUCGUGUCGUGAGAUGUUGGGUUAAGUCCCGCAACGAGCGCAACCCUUGAUCUUAGUUGCCAGCAUUUAGUUGGGCACUCUAAGGGUGACUGCCGGUGACAAACCGGAGGAAGGUGGGGAUGACGUCAAAUCAUCAUGCCCCUUAUGACCUGGGCUACACACGUGCUACAAUGGAUGGUACAAAGGGCUGCAAGACCGCGAGGUCAAGCCAAUCCCAUAAAACCAUUCUCAGUUCGGAUUGUAGG